CCUGAUGCAGCAACGCCGCGUGAGGGAUGACGGCCUUCGGGUUGUAAACCUCUUUUAGCAGGGAAGAAGCGAAAGUGACGGUACCUGCAGAAAAAGCGCCGGCUAACUACGUGCCAGCAGCCGCGGUAAUACGUAGGGCGCAAGCGUUAUCCGGAAUUAUUGGGCGUAAAGAGCUCGUAGGCGGUCUGUCGCGUCUGCUGUGAAAUCCCGAGGCUCAACCUCGGGUCUGCAGUGGGUACGGGCAGACUAGAGUGCGGUAGGGGAGAUUGGAAUUCCUGGUGUAGCGGUGGAAUGCGCAGAUAUCAGGAGGAACACCGAUGGCGAAGGCAGAUCUCUGGGCCGUAACUGACGCUGAGGAGCGAAAGGGUGGGGAGCAAACAGGCUUAGAUACCCUGGUAGUCCACCCCGUAAACGUUGGGAACUAGUUGUGGGGUCCAUUCCACGGAUUCCGUGACGCAGCUAACGCAUUAAGUUCCCCGCCUGGGGAGUACGGCCGCAAGGCUAAAACUCAAAGGAAUUGACGGGGACCCGCACAAGCGGCGGAGCAUGCGGAUUAAUUCGAUGCAACGCGAAGAACCUUACCAAGGCUUGACAUAUACGAGAACGGGCUAGAAAUAGUCAACUCUUUGGACACUCGUA
rnacentral:rRNA from 1 species